rnacentral:tRNA from 1 species
GGCGGGGUCGACGGCGGCGGCGCCGGGGCGGGUGCCCGCCGCCGCUCACCCGGACGGUUCGGCGCCCUCCGCCACCUC